rnacentral:rRNA from 1 species
GACGAACGCUGGCGGCGUGCUUAACACAUGCAAGUCGAGCGGUAAGGCCUUUCGCUGUACACGAGCGGCUAACGGGCGGGUGACAGGUUGGUGAUCUGCUCUGCACUUCGUGAUAAGCCGGUGAAAUUGGGUCUACUACGGUAUAUGACCUCCUUUCGCAUGAUGGGUGGGGGCAAUAUUUAGCGGUGCAUGUUCGGCCCGCUGCCUAUCGGCUUGUUGGUGAGUAAAUGGCUUGCCAAGGCAACGACGGCUAGCCGACCUGGGAGUGUGACCGGCCACACUGGGCCUGAGACACGCACCAGACUCGUACGGGAGGCAGCAGUGGGGAAUCUUGCACAAUGGGCGAAAGCCUGAUGCAGCGACGCCGCGUGAGGGAUAACGGCCUUCGGGUUGUAAACAUCUUUCAGCGGGGACGAAGCGCAAGUGACGGUACCUGAAGAAGAAGCCACGGCUAACUACGUG